GCCCCUAGCCCCAGUUUAACUUUAAAGGAAUGUGAGAAACUAGCAUCAUUGUGCACAUUACACUCAACUACAUAAGAAUAUGAACUUGCAGCUUCUCCGGACGUUCAGUCAGUUUUGUAGCUGAAGUGCUUUGUGCACAAAGCUCUACAUCUGAACUCUGACCUGCAGAUCUAAAUGAUCUGUAAGUGAUCAUUAAAUGCCCAGUACCAGAUGUGGCAAAUGCCGAGUGGCCGUAGGUCCCCAGCUCAUCAACUCCUGCCCUCUACAUACCUUCACAGCUUCACAGUCAAAGGUCAGCAGUAAGCUCAGUAAGCACCUUCGCGGUGACCUCCAUCAUCUUGUCUCACUUGGAAACCGUUUUCAGUUUAUUUACUAUGCAAUAGACAUUCAUUGUUUUGUAUUCAGCUAGCUUUGGUUUAGUGCGCCACUGCUUUGUCUUUCUGUUACACAUACAGUUGUUUUGAUUUAUUUACCAUAUGUGCUGUGCCAUUUUGAUUUUUAUUUUGUUUGGUUGGUUGAAUAAAUUUGCGACACUCAAACACUUGAGGUGAUAGUUUAAAAACGAUACCAGUAUUUGAUCCAGUUUCAUCUCAACUGUGUUAUACCUGGACAUUUUAGAUGUUUAUCAAAGGUCUUUUAUGGGGAAGAAAGUAAAUGUAUGAAAUAAAUGCGUGACAUUUAUGAGUAAUGUUGGCUCUGAACAAACGUUUGAAAACUUAGUUGAUAAAAUUUUGGAUCAACUAAAAAAAAGCAUGACUUUUGAAAUCUCUGAAUGCCUUGGUUCUCAGUAUUAUCAUUCUUUAUUGAAUUUCUUUCUUAUUAAAAUAUGUAGUUUUUAAGACUUUUUUUUUUUCUGACAGUAUUAUGUAAUUUUUAGCGCGGGUAGAUGGGAGUGUCGCUUGUAUGUUACGUACAGCUGACAUGUGUUUUGUCGAUUCUUUAUUAUCUCAGUAGUUUCAUGCUGUGUAUGUACCAUAACCAACCUAUUGCCUAUGAGAAACAUGUAAGAUAAUGUAUUUACAGCCAUUGUUACAAGUUUAUAAUGUAUUUUUCUAUCUUGUUUUAUAUGUAUGUUAUAUAACAUUCAAAAAGAAUUUUUUUCUUGAUUGAGAAAAGGAUACAAAAUGCAAAAUCCACAAUUUUGAUAACUGAAAAUUGCCAAUUGUUUUGCAGUACUUUAUUAUAUUGGGUGUCUUGUCUUUCUUGGGCUUUUAGUUAGCUAAUGAAUGAAUACAUUAGACACUUUUGGGUUUUAGUUGGGAUUUUACAUAGCUUGCAUUUUAAUUCUUUGGUUCUUUGCUGUUUCUAUUAACCCAUAGCAUUAUUUUAAUAAAUGUUAUAAUAUCAACCUACUAACUCUGGACUAUGUCUGUUUAUUAACCUUUACAUGUUUAAUUAAAAUAAACAAAUAAAGACAAAAGAAUGUAAAGUCUUGAAUUACUGGACUAACCCUGAAGGAAGUGACCACAGAUAACAUAGCGUGACUUGUUUGUAUGUUGUGUGUCAGCUGACAGUUCCGCACACUGCUGUUAAAGCGGCUUUGGUUAUUCUGGCCUUUUACCUUGAGGGGAGGUGCCAGGAGAGAUGGGAACAAAGUAGUGUUGGUUUGAGGCGUUCUUCUAGUCUUGCCACCUGCCUUUCAACUUCUGCAUUACUAAUUCCACACUUUCUUAUUUUUCCUUCUCCAAAAUAAUCACUGUCUGCUCACAGCGUAAAGGGUAAAGAGAUUUAUCGUAAUGAUAUACCCAAGAAACCAGUUUGAUUCUUUGUUGAACCAUUUUUUAAUUUUCUAUAAGUAGAUAAUCUAAUGGUCACAUUAUAAAGCAAAGCAUCUGGUGACGUUUUACCUUUCUUCAAAUUGGUGUUUUAAUUGGACGUUUUUCCAGUAUACAGUUAUGAACUGUUUUGGCUAGCUGCUCCUGUUAAGGAAAGCCAAAGGUAGAGUGGCUCCGUGUCUCAGGCCAGCCCCACGUCGCCAUUCAUGACGACCACAGACGCAGGCCCCCCCAGCACGAGGCCAGACAGCAUCGCUGAGCUUUCUCUCUCGCCCUGUUCCACAGUACAGUCAGAAUACUUUAGUACAAGAAGUCUGAGGGGGAGGAACAGUACAUUUGAAAAGUGGUGUAUAUAUCGUGGUUUGCAUGGGAGUUAGAUUUAUUAACUUACCUUCACGCUUUUCUUAGCUGCAGCCUAGGUAAACUGACCUCUACUUACCUAUUCUUUUAACUCUUGAGGUGCAUUUAUGUUUCACAGAUACUGGUAUUUCCUUUUCUGUGAAAUGGUCCUCCUGGAUAAUAAAAAUUCUCAGGAUGAAUUUUUGCAUUUGCAAAUAAUGCCUUAUUUCUGUAAAUUGCUUUUUAUUUAUUUUAAAGUUCUAAAAUUUGGGGCUGAAAUGAGUCACAUUGUUCCAGAAGACAUAACCACACCACUAUGGUAUUAACCAGACUGUCAGAACGUAGCCCCAUAGUAUAUAUACAUACAUGAAAUACAUAGAAUAGCAAGAGCAUCAGAUUUAAUCAUAAUUUAGAUGGUUCUUUUGAUCAAACAUAUUGUUUCUCUGAUGGGGAGGGGGCAAUCUAUUAUUGUUAGGUAGACAGCUUUAAUAUGCUACUAUCUUUAAAAGUUCACAUUGCCGUACAGUUAAUACAUAUUGUUUUGUGAAAAUUUGAAGAUAACUUUCAAGCUGCUAGUAUACAGGUCAUCGUGGUACCAUGUACGGAAGUUGAUGAAGAAUUUCUAUGUAUUUUAUUCUACAUUUUCUGAAGUCUGUGAAUGCAGUCUCAUCUCAUUUUCAGUUAAGAGUACUUUUAUGUAUAAUUACGUUGUAUUGCCACCUUUUAUGUUGGAAAAGUCCAGUUUUAAAAGACAAAAAUGACAAAACUCAUUUUUAUACAGGCUAUAAUAGUAUUAAACUUGAAAUCACCAAAUUGUCAGAAUGAUAAAAUGCCAGAGUCAGCUUAUUGUUUUAUACUACUAGUAUUUGACAAAGCAAUUGGAAGUUAAGCUUUCAGUUGAGAAGUUGGUAAAGUUAUGUACUUGCAGUCAAGCAUCUUUUUCUUUGGGAAAAUGGAGCAUGAAAGUCGAUAUUCACCAGCACACUAGUACACUCUGUGUGGGAGAGCCCACCUCGGGGGCGGUCAAAGCACCCUGUCCAUAAAGCCAAGAUAUGUGAAUGUUCACACAAGAGGUGGUUAAGGUUUCUCAAUAAAUAAUGAAUGAAUAUAAAGGGCUGUAAGUUUUUUAGUCCACCAAAAGCAGACAGUAGGUGUGAUUUAAAUUACAUUGAUUUGCUCAUUACCAAAUCAAGACUCUUCUUUACCAGCUAACAUUUAUAAAUGACAGUCUAAAGUUUCUCCAUUUUGAGGGGGAGGGGUUUGUGUGUUUGAAAUAAGGUGUCUGUUAUGUCUUGGUAACAAUUAGCAAUUGGAGGGUUACCAGCAAGUGAUUUUUAGUAGAGUGAAACGUAUUGUUGGAUUAUAAUCCAUUAUUUAAUAGCAAAAAUUAUCCAGAGAACUUUUUAGACUCAUAAAGUUUCUAAGUAAAUGUAGUUUUUAAACAUCUUCAAAAGUUUCUAUUUUAUUUAAAAUGGAAAAAGGAUUCAUUUUAUAGAUAAUUUUACUUUUAGAAAUAUUCAUAUGGUACACACAUGUAAUUUUAUCUGUGGUUUCU
rnacentral:lncRNA from 1 species